rnacentral:rRNA from 1 species
AUUGAACGCUGGCGGCAGGCUUAACACAUGCAAGUCGAGCGGAGAGAGGUAGCUUGCUACUGAUCUUAGCGGCGGACGGGUGAGUAAUGCUUAGGAAUCUGCCUAUUAGUGGGGGACAACAUUUCGAAAGGAAUGCUAAUACCGCAUACGUCCUACGGGAGAAAGCAGGGGAUCUUCGGACCUUGCGCUAAUAGAUGAGCCUAAGUCGGAUUAGCUAGUUGGUGGGGUAAAGGCCUACCAAGGCGACGAUCUGUAGCGGGUCUGAGGGGAUGAUCCGCAACCCUGGGACUGAGACACGGCCCAGACUCCUACGGGAGGCAGCAGUGGGGAAUAUUGGACAAUGGGCGCAAGCCUGAUCCAGCCAUGCCGCGUGUGUGAAGAAGGCCUUAUGGUUGUAAAGCACUUUAAGCGAGGAGGAGGCUACUUUAGUUAAUACCUAGAGAUAGUGGACGUUACUCGCAGAAUAAGCACCGGCUAACUCUGUGCCAGCCGCCGCCGUAAUAC